CAACUUCACUGGGGUGGUCUAUGGUGUCUGAGUGUCCAUGCAGAAGUGUUAGCCAGCUGUGGUCUCACAGUCCUACGGUCCCCCAGUUCAUGUACACGCUGAGUGUGUGGGGUGUGUACAUCAUCUCCGUGCGGGGGCUGCUGGCCGAUUACAACCAGCACACCUACUGGCAGCUCCUGAGCAAUGGCGUCCCACUAAAAUUAGGGACCAGGUGAUGCUUCUCAUCCCCAUGAGGAAGAACAAGC